rnacentral:lncRNA from 1 species
UAAAAACUAUUUUUUUUUUGAAAAUUAAAAUAUAAAAUGGUGGUAGGAUUAGGAGAUCAAGACAAAUAAUUAAGUUGGAUUUGGAAGGUGGUGGCUAUAUUAGUUGAUAAUUAAGAGAUAACAUAUGUGAUUUUGUUGACAAAGGGAGAUGGGUAUAGUUGCCAUGUAUCUGUUUCAAGUAUGUACUGGUUUCAAGUGUGAAUGUAGGCUUGGAAUAAUACAGGAGAGAGUAGGUAUAUAUAUAUGCACUACAAUGAAACAUUAGAUCUUAAUUAAAAGAGACGGUCAGGAUUAAAUUAUUUUGUAUAAGUGCAG